CGGGAUGUAGUAUAACAGUUAUUAUGCAGGGCUGGGGGUCCUGUGACCUGGGUGCGACUCCCAGCAUCCCGA
rnacentral:tRNA from 1 species